rnacentral:rRNA from 1 species
CAGCAGCCGCGGUAAUACGAAGGGGGCUAGCGUUGCUCGGAAUUACUGGGCGUAAAGCGUGCGUAGGUGGUGGUUUAAGUCCGUUGUGAAAGCCCUGGGCUCAACCUGGGAAUUGCAGUGGAUACUGGGUCACUAGAGUGUGGUAGAGGAUAGUGGAAUUUCCGGUGUAGCAGUGAAAUGCGUAGAGAUCGGAAGGAACAUCUGUGGCGAAGGCGACUAUCUGGGCCAACACUGACACUGAGGCACGAAAGCGUGGGGAGCAAACAGGAUUAGAGACCCCGGUAGUCCCUGUCUCUUAUAC